AAGCCUGUUUGGUUCAAAGUGUAUCUGUAUUGACAUGCAUAUUAUAUGAAGUGUCUCAUUAGGCUUUUUAUCUCUGAGGGGUAUUUAUUUUCCUUACCCUUCGGGGUAUAUGUUUCUCUCUCCCCUAUUUGGUAUGGAAAGACAUAAGAGGACUGCUUCUAGUGGAUGACGGCAUGCCCUCUGACGAGAGUGGUAUCGCACUAUCUGUAGGGGGCACCCAUGGUUAAGUAAUAUCGUG
rnacentral:lncRNA from 1 species